GACGGAGGGUGCGAGCGUUAAUCGGAAUUACUGGGCGUAAAGCGCACGCAGGCGGUUUGUUAAGCUAGAUGUGAAAGCCCCGGGCUCAACCUGGGAUGGUCAUUUAGAACUGGCAGACUAGAGUCUUGGAGAGGGGAGUGGAAUUCCAGGUGUAGCGGUGAAAUGCGUAGAUAUCUGGAGGAACAUCAGUGGCGAAGGCGACUCCCUGGCCAAAGACUGACGCUCAUGUGCGAAAGUGUGGGUAGCGAACAGG
rnacentral:rRNA from 1 species